AACGAACGCUGGCGGCAGGCCUAACACAUGCAAGUCGAGCGAGGACUCCGGUCCUAGCGGCGGACGGGUGAGUAACGCGUGGGAACGUGCCCUUUGCUUCGGAAUAGCCCUUGGAAACUGGGAGUAAUACCGGAUGAGCCCCGUGGGGGAAAGAUUUAUCGGCGAAGGAUCGGCCCGCGUUGGAUUCGGUGGUUGGUGGGGUAAUGGCCUACCAAGCCUACGAUCCAUAGCUGGUUUGAGAGGAUGAUCAGCCACACUGGGACUAAGAUACGGCCCAGACUCCUACGGAAGGCGGCAGUGGGGGAUCUUAGACAACGGGGGGGACCCUGAACUAGCCAUGCCGCGUAAGCGAUGAAGGCCUUAGGGUUGUAAAGCUCUUUCAGCUGGGGAGAUAAUGACGGUACCAGAAGAAGAAGCCCCGGCUAACUCCGUG
rnacentral:rRNA from 1 species